rnacentral:rRNA from 1 species
CAGCCGCCGCGGUAAUACCGGCGGCCCGAGUGGCGGCCACUAUUAUUGGGCCUAAAGCGUCCGUAGCCGGGCUGGUAAGUCCUCCGGGAAAUCUGGUCGCUUAACGAUCAGACUUCCGGAGGAUACUGCUGGCCUAGGGACCGGGAGAGGCCGAGGGUAUUCCCGGGGUAGGGGUGAAAUCCUGUAAUCCCGGGAGGACCACCUGUGGCGAAGGCGCUCGGCUGGAACGCGUCCGACGGUGAGGGACGAAGGCCAGGGGAGCAAACCGGAUUAGAUACCCGGGUAGUCCUGGCUGUAAACGAUGCGGACUUUGUGUCGGACAAGCUAUGAGCUUGUCCGGUGCCGGAGGGAAACCGUUAAGUCCGCCGCCUGGGGAGUACGGCCGCAAGGCUGAAACUUAAAGGAAUUGGCGGG